GGGCCUCUAGCUCAACUGGCAGAGCAUCAGACUCUUAAUCUGCAGGUUGCGGGUUCAAGUCCCGCGGGGCCCACC
rnacentral:tRNA from 1 species